UACGAAGGGGGCUAGCGUUGCUCGGAAUCACUGGGCGUAAAGCGCACGUAGGCGGCUUUCUAAGUCAGGGGUGAAAUCCUGGAGCUCAACUCCAGAACUGCCUUUGAUACUGGAGAGCUCGAGUCCGGAAGAGGUGAGUGGAACUGCGAGUGUAGAGGUGAAAUUCGUAGAUAUUCGCAAGAACACCAGUGGCGAAGGCGGCUCACUGGUCCGGUACUGACGCUGAGGUGCGAAAGCGUGGGGAGCAAACAGG
rnacentral:rRNA from 1 species